rnacentral:rRNA from 1 species
AUACGUAGGUGGCAAGCGUUGUCCGGAUUUACUGGGCGUAAAGGGUGCGUAGGUGGAUAUUUAAGUGAGAUGUGAAAUCCCCGAGCUUAACUUGGGGCCUGCAUUUCAAACUGGAUAUCUAGAGUGCAGGAGAGGAGAAUGGAAUUCCUAGUGUAGCGGUGAAAUGCGUAGAGAUUAGGAAGAAUACCAGUGGCGAAGGCGGCUUUCUGGACUGUAACUGACGCUGAGGCAUGAAAGCGUGGGGAGC